GACGAGGUACUUAAUGACAAAGCGGGAGGUGAGGCCAGGUUUCCGAGAUUACUGUCUGAUGUGUCAAUGCUGCAGGCGCCACACCGGGGCCACCAGCGGCUCUUCAGCCUGGUCAGAGCAGUCACGUGGGGAGCCUUGAAAAGAUCCGGGUGCCAGAGCCACCCUUGGAGAGGCGGGUGCAUUUGGUGUGAGGCAGAGCGCAGGCAGCGAUGCAUCGUGGGAGAUCCUCGGGUGGUCCUAGCCUGCGGCCAGGGUUGAGAGCUGCUGGGCUGAAUGAAUGAAUGCAUGACCCAUCCUGCCCCAGGACAGACCAGCAGAGAUGGGCACGGGCUUUGCAGGAUGGACUGGGCUUGAGGCCCACUUCCCUUCAGUGACCCGGCGAGGAAGACUCGAUGGCAGACCCAGGCUCUGGAAGGACAUGGAGGCUCAGAGAGGUAAGGGGACCUGCCCGAGGCAGGUGCCGACAGUCCAGGAUUUACCUGACGCUCAAGGUUAAAGCUUUGUGAGUAUCUUGCAUCCAGAAGACGGAAGUCAGAGUGAUGGUCCCUGGGAAGGAGGAAGCUCCAGGUGCCGCAUGGUUUCCAGAUGCAUGGUUUCCAGAUGUCACACUGCGAACCGAGGAAGCCUAAGAAAUAACAAUACCUCUUUCAGAACGAGUGUGGCAGUUUACUGAGACUUGGGGCGUAUCCAAAACCAGGCACCUUCCCAGAAAAGAGCAGCGUCAGUCGGGAUCCUGCUUUAAAAGAAAGAGAUCCUUCACCACAGGAAGACAGCCAUGAAACCCCCAUUCAGCAGGAAAGGCGAGGCCCGCCAGCUUCCCCAGGGGAUGGAAGGAGGCGUGGCCGUGGAGCGGGCCUGUGCACAGGACAGACAGCGCCAAAACGUCGACUCUGCAAAUUAGUUACAGAGGCCCACCUCGCGAAAUUGCGCAAGACCCAGACCUGGCGUACUGUGGGACCUAGUGUCAAGACCCCGCCCACCUUGAAGACAGUUAUGGAUGGAGAUAAGAACAGUUUCCUGCCCGAACCUUUCCUUCUCAGGAGCACUUAAAUUGACCUUCGUUGGAAGAUGACAGGUGAACAGAGCAACAUUUACUUGUUCCCAUGAAGAAAUCAUAUGAUGCUCAGCAGGUGGCUUUGGCGUUUGGUCGUUAUGGUGUGACAGCAUCAUGGCCACGGGGUUUUUAUAAUAGAGAUUAUAUAUUAUAAGGAUA